UACGUAGGUGGCAAGCGUGGUCCGGAAUUAUUGGGCGUAAAGCGCGGGCAGGCGGCCUUUUAAGUCUGAUGUGAAAGCCCACGGCUCAACCGUGGAAGGUCAUUGGAAACUGAAAGGCUUGAGUACAGAAGAGGAAAGCGGAAUUCCACGUGUAGCGGUGAAAUGCGUAGAGAUGUGGAGGAACACCAGUGGCGAAGGCGGCUUUCUGGUCUGUAACUGACGCUGAGGCGCGAAAGCGUGGGGAGCAAACAGG
rnacentral:rRNA from 1 species